GUUAUCCUGACGAGGAUUAUUUGAUUCAGGGGAGAUUGGACAUUGGACCCACAAUGGGACUUUUGCCACACCUAUCAAGAAAGUGAUGAUAUUUGCAGAAUUCAGUUGCAUAUCUUGGAUCUGAGUUCUACACAGCAUUGGACACGCACUCUGCACUUUUGAAAGUUAAAGUUGAUUAAAAGCCAUCUGAUGUUUACACCGCGGUAUUUCAGGGUCUUCCAGUCAUCUUGGAGGAUGACCCAGAGGAAUUUUACAGGAUGU